GUGGAUUUUACAUAAUUGGACCGAUAAGGAUUGCAUAAGGAUAUUGAAAAAAUGUAAAGAAGCUGUAACAAGUGAUGGAAAAAGAGGAAAAGUGAUUGUGAUAGAUAUGGUGAUAAAUGAAAAGAAAGAUGAGAAGAAUCUUACUCAAAUGAAGCUUCUUAUGGAUGUAAACAUGGCAAAAGAAGCUGUAACAAGUGAUGGAAAAAGAGGAAAAGUGAUUGUGAUAGAUAUGGUGAUAAAUGAAAAGAAAGAUGAGAAGAAUCUUACUCAAAUGAAGCUUCUUAUGGAUGUAAACAUGGCAUGUCUCAAUGGAAAAGAGAGAAAAG
rnacentral:lncRNA from 1 species